GUGGGGAAUAUUCCGCAAUGGACGAAAGUCUGACGGAGCAACGCCGCGUGAGUGAUGAAGGUUUUCGGACUGUAAAGCUCUGUUGUUUAGGACGAAAGUGCCUGUUGCAAAUAGUUACAGGUAUUGACGGUACUGAACGAGGAAGCCACGGCUAACUACGUGCCAGCAGCCGCGGUAAUACGUAGGUGGCAAGCGCUGUCCGGAAUUAUUGGGCGUAAAGAGCAUGUAGGCGGGAAUCUAAGUCUGUUGUGGAAAUGCGGGGCUCAACCCCGUAUUGCUAUGGAAACUGGGUUUCUUGAGUGCAGGAGAGGAAAGGGGAAUUCCCAGUGUAGCGGUGAAAUGCGUAGAUAUUGGGAGGAACACCAGUGGCGAAGGCGCCUUUCUGGACUGUGUCUGACGCUGAGAUGCGAAAGCCAGGGUAGCGAACGGGAUUAGAAACCCGGGUAGUCC
rnacentral:rRNA from 1 species